UGUAAACUCCGAAGGACUAGUUUGCACUUCUGAUAAAGUGUUCCCCAGGCUGAGCAGAUAACUGUGGUGUCCGACAAGGUCCUGGCUGAGAAGCAAAGCUGACUGAUGCCUGGCUCCUGCUUGAAGUGGAAUGCUGUCCCUCAAGAGUUCCUGAUUGGGUCUUGUAUUAUUUCUAUGGGUUAUGAUGUUUCAUAGUGAGAAGAAUCAGAGAGAAACUAGCUUAUGACAUCUUCUUUGAAUAAGAAGUUCUCAGGAGAAGAAAUUUUCAGAACAAAGGUGUCUGUUGUGUCACAUCGUAACUAAAUUAAUAUCUUUUUAAUCUCUCCAUUUCCAUCAACAACCAGUUUUCAUAAA